CCUUUAUUGCAGGACACCUUCAUUGCUGAUACGGGGACCACGAGCGGCAAAGUCGCUCGCCUUAUAUACACAACAGUAUGCUAAUAAUCUCUCAGGGAUUGGUGGGGCACGGGUCACCCCACUAUCACCCCACUGUCAUCCCACUAUCACCCCACUACUUGUCCUCCAGGGAUUGGCAGAGAACGAAUCACCUCACCAGCAUGGUACCGCCCCCUCAUUAGCAUAUUACCAGCCAACUGACACCAGGUGCAAAACCCGUGCAUGCGCAGUACUAUUGUUCACCACAGGAGGGCGUCGGAUCAUACAGCUGCCCUGACAAGGGGACAAGCCUGCGCAUGUGCGGAAAAGGCACCAGGCGAAACCUCUCACUGAUGGCUGCCCAGAUUCCUGCUCCUCAGUCACCAAGGGCUUCUGUUUCAUUUUUAUGAAUUUGUGUUCCUUCUCUCCUUUCCUUUGAGAAGUAAGAACAGAUGGCUGCAUUCCUUCGUCACCACAGCUCUUCCUGACUGAUUAGUUCAAAUUAAAGAAAGGUGAAAAUUGAAGCUGUUGCACGGGAGGCGAUUGCAACAUGCAUAUUUGAUUUUUAUGAUGGAUCUAAAUUGCUGAAUAAGACCACGGAACAAAGGGAGACUCCAGCUUCCUGCCCAUCACGGGCAGCCACUGAAUGCAGAACAAAAGCUUCGGCCAUUAGGGGCUCAGCAGGGAGACACAUUAUAUAAAUGACUUUGUCUUCUUUGCCCCCUCCCCCCUACUGGGUGCACUGGACAGGGGUAGGGGUGUGUGUGUGUGUGUGUGUGUGUGUGUGUGUGUAUGUGUUCGAUGAUUUAGUAGGGCAAGAGAUAAGAAAUGCUGGGAGCAGCUAUGGAAAAAGGAAUGAAUAGUUGCAUUAUGAUUCAAAGGGCCUAUGUUUUACUCACUGGGCCAGGGUGACUCUGCUCUGUCUGGGCUGGGAGCGUCUCCUAAAACUCCCUGGAGGAGGAAUAUGGUUCAAGUCUUCAGAGAAACCUUUAGCUUCCCCCUACACUAUUUUGUUUCUUCCUUGAGAAUGAUGAAGCAGAAGGGAAAAUGGCUAGAAAAAAGAUUAUAAAAUUCUAAUAAAAAGCUAAAUGUACUCAAAGAAUAAAUCUACCCAUGA